rnacentral:misc_RNA from 1 species
GAUGAAGAACGUAGCGAAAUGCGAUAAGUAGUGUGAAUUGCAGAAUUCAGUGAGUCAUCGAAUCUUUGAACGCACAUUGCGCCCUGUGGUAUUCCGCAGGGCAUGCCUGUUCGAGCGUCAUUUCAACCCUCAAGCUCUGCUUGGUGUUGGGCCCUGCCCGCUGCGGCCGGCCCUAAAGACAGUGGCGGUGCCGCCUGGCCCUGAGCGUAGUACAUCUCUCGCUCCAGUGCCCGGUGGUAGCCUGCCAGAACCCCAACUCUCGUGGUUGACCUCGGAUCAGGUAGGGAUACCCGCUGAACUUAAGCAUAUCAAUAAGCGGAGGA